rnacentral:rRNA from 1 species
AUUGAACGCUGGCGGCAGGCCUAACACAUGCAAGUCGAACGAGUGGCGGACGGGUGAGUAAUGUCUGGGAAACUGCCUGAUGGAGGGGGAUAACUACUGGAAACGGUAGCUAAUACCGCAUACCCUCAGAUGUGCCCAGAUGGGUUGAGCUUGUUGGUGGGGUAACGGCUCACCAAGGCGACGAUCCCUAGCUGGUCUGAGAGGAUGACCGGCAAAACGGGAACGAAGAAACGGUCCAGACUCCAAGGGGAGGCGGAGGGGGGAAUAAUGGAACAAUGGGGGCAAGCCGGAGGAGGCCAGGCCGGGUGUAGGAAGAAGGCCUUCGGGUUGUAAAGUACUUUAAGCGGGGAGGCGUGACCCGCAGAAGAAGCACCGGCUAACUCCGUGCCAGCCGCCGGGGUAAUC